rnacentral:tRNA from 1 species
AGGAUUGUGGCUCAGUGGGCAGAGUGUGUACCUAACAUGCACAAAGCCUUAGGUUCAGUCCCCAACAAUGCCU